GGAGGUUGUUUUCGCGAUAAUAAAGAACAAUCGUCAAUUCAAAGUGUCGAGGACCUCAUAAAAGUUCUUUUACGAUGGUGAUAUGGAUAGCCUCGAUUUUGGAAGACUUGAAUAAUUUUUAUUUUCGUUUUUAUUUCUUUUUAUUACUUAUUUUGAUUAUUUUGUUUUUGGCGUGUUUGUUUUGUUUUUCUAUGUAGCACCCAUUGAGAGGUACACAACAUUGAGACGUUUAACAAAGUUUGAGGACUGCACCAUUUUGUUGCACAUAAUCUUAAAUCGAGGGAGUUUUCUUAAACUAAUCUUUAGUAGAGGACACAUUGAGGACAAUGUGUACCUGAAGUGUAGGGUGUACAUAGCUUUUUAAUUUAUGUCUUUUUGUCUAUCUGUUUUAUAUUUUAUUUAAUUUUAAAAAAAAUCUAUAAAAAUUUUAAUUUUUUGUUUAGUUUUUUAUUUUUCUUUUAUGGUGAUUGAAAUAUGUUGGCACUAAGAUUAUUAGUUGUUAAUAUUAAAUGAUGUAUUUUGACUUUUGAGCAGGUAAAUUUCGAUUGAUAUUAGAUAAUAU
rnacentral:lncRNA from 1 species